rnacentral:snoRNA from 7 species
AAGCAUGUUUCCAAGGGCUGUGGCUGCUUGUAGCCAAGGGAUCUUCAAAUGCAUGCCAGAGUAAUGGAGAGACUUUGACAGUGCAGGUCAGCACAAAGCCUGCAGCUACCACUCAGCUUUCCUGUAUA